UACGUAGGGUGCGAGCGUUAUCCGGAUUCACUGGGUUUAAAGGGUGCGUAGGCGGAUUGGUAAGUCCGUGGUGAAAUCCCCGAGCUUAACUUGGGAACUGCCGUGGAUACUAUCAGUCUUGAAUAUCGUGGAGGUAAGCGGAAUAUGUCAUGUAGCGGUGAAAUGCUUAGAUAUGACAUAGAACACCAAUUGCGUAGGCAGCUUACUACUCGAACAUUGACGCUGAGGCACGAAAGCGUGGGGAGCAAACAGG
rnacentral:rRNA from 1 species